CCUACGGGUGGCUGCAGUGGGGAAUAUUGCACAAUGGGGGAAACCCUGAUGCAGCGACGCCGCGUGAGUGAAGAAGUAUCUCGGUACGUAAAGCUCUAUCAGCAGGGAAGAAAAUGACGGUACCUGACUAAGAAGCCCCGGCUAACUACGUGCCAGCAGCCGCGGUAAUACGUAGGGGGCAAGCGUUAUCCGGAUUUACUGGGUGUAAAGGGAGCGUAGACGGCAGCACAAGUCUGGAGUGAAAUCCCGGGGCCUAACCCCGGAACUGCUUUGGAAACUGGGCGGCUGGAGUGCAGGAGGGGUAAGCGGAAUUCCUGGUGUAGCGGUGAAAUGCGUAGAUAUUAGGAGGAACACCGGUGGCGAAGGCGGCUUACUGGACUGAAACUGACGUUGAGGCUCGAAAGCGUGGGGAGCAAACAGGAUUAGAUACACUAGUAGUC
rnacentral:rRNA from 1 species